UGGAAUGGCAUGGUUUCCAGA
rnacentral:piRNA from 1 species